ACUGAAACAGAGGACUGAAAACUGGCGCUGCCGGAAAACAGGAACACAGUAGCUGCCGGAAAAAUUCAAAGUUGUCGGAAUUGGAAAGUAAAAAUAUGGAUAGGCUCGGAAUUCAAGGGUGAGCAAACUGUCCUGAAGAAAUUCUGGUCGGAAAGUACUGUAGCUGCCGGAAAAGUCAAUAAAGUCGCCGGAAAAAAUUGAAAGUUGUCGGAAUCGAACGAAAAAAGGAUGGGUAGGGUCGAAAUUGAGAGCCGACCAAACUGUCCUGAAGGAGCAAAGUGAAAAACUGGUCGGAAACAGCCUCACG
rnacentral:lncRNA from 1 species